GUUGGAGUAGCUCAGUUGGUAAGAGCAUAUGUAUUUUCAACCAUAGAGUUGAAGGUUCAACCCCUUCCUCCGGCA